rnacentral:tRNA from 1 species
GUCGGGAUAGCUCAGCUGGUAAAGCAAAGGACUGAAAAUCCUCGUUU